UAGCAAAGAGAGAAGACAUAAUACCUCCGUCUGCCGUGGACCUGUGGAGGAGAAAAGAGGCCGCGCGACAGUUGAAGCUUCCUCAAGUGUCCAAUAGAGGGCGCCCUCAGCUUGAGCCUUUGCGCCCUCGGCUGCUGCUUUCAGGUCUGGAGACCUCCAGAGUGUCACUUCCACAUCUGCCAAGUUUCCAACCAUCCAGACCUGUUCAACCGCGUCCACCAAAGGCAGCGCCGAGGAGACCCCUCAGGACUGAAGUAUGGACAGGCAUGGACUUUGGGCUUUUUAUAAAGAACAGCCCGGGUUUCCCAAGAUAUGGUGCCAAAUGAGGUAGGACCCAACUAGUUUAAUGUGCAACAGAAAAAUAAAU